UAGGGAAUCUUCGGCAAUGGGGGGAACCCUGACCGAGCAACGCCGCGGGAGUGAAGAAGGUUUUCGGAUCGUAAAGCUCUGUUGUUAAGGAAGAACGAGUGUGAGAAUGGAAAGUUCAUACUGUGACGGUACUUAACCAGAAAGGGACGGCUAACUACGUGCCAGCAGCCGCGGUAAUACGUAGGUCCCGAGCGUUGUCCGGAUUUAUUGGGCGUAAAGCGAGCGCAGGCGGUUAGAUAAGUCUGAAGUUAAAGGCAGUGGCUCAACCAUUGUAGGCUUUGGAAACUGUUUAACUUGAGUGCAUAAGGGGAGAGUGGAAUUCCAUGUGUAGCGGUGAAAUGCGUAGAUAUAUGGAGGAACACCGGUGGCGAAAGCGGCUCUCUGGUCUGUACCUGACGCUGAGGCUCGAAAGCGUGGGGAGCGAACAGG
rnacentral:rRNA from 1 species